UUUGCCUGGGUUUAUUUGUUUUACUUUGCAAUAAAUUUAAUACAGACUCCCUGAAGCAGAGAGGCAGAUGGACUAUAAACUCUGCAUUUUGAGCAGCCUUUCUUACUAGGUUAGUGUGAGUUUUGAUCCCUGCUUAAAUUAUAUCUAUGAAAUUUGACAUGGAUUUGGGUCUGGGGUUUGCUGGCUUGUUGGGACUCUGGAGCUGUUCUUAGGGAAUUUACAAGGGCGGACUUGAUUAUUGGGGCUUUAAUUUCUCACAGAGGCUAACAGGGAGUCCGAGGAGACAGGUUGGGGUACAACAGGAAGAUGGAAAAGCAAGAGAGUUGGGUUUCUGUGGACCCCCAGUGAUGACGUUAUCAGUGUUGUUUUCACACGCCUCUUGCAAGGUCUGAAGCCAGACGUCAUGGACCUGUGUGGAACCCUUCGGCCUUCCUCGAGGGAGGAACUCCUAGGGAACUCAGAGCCUAAGGGAAGAAAACUCAGAUACACAUAAGAGGCAGAUAUCACUAAAUACCAAGGAGAACAGUGCAAAUUAACAUUUCAUGUAAGUGUAAGUUGGACUGAGGCGAUACAGCAAAAGGAAAGACACGCAACAACCCUCUCAGGUGAGCACUCUUGCCCCACGCCAGGGUGUGCACCUCCUCCUGUCUGCAUCCUCCCACAGGUCACUGAAGAAAGACAGUGGCAGGAACCAGGAACAGUACAACCUGAAUUCUUGGCUCAGCUUCACCAAUUCCUUCUUUGUCCAAAUAUUUGGGCAACGUGUAUUUAAGCUCUCCCAGCUUCGGUUUCUCUGUCCGAACAACUGAAAUCACCUGACUACCAUGAGGAAGAGGGAAGAUAACUUUGAUAGGGAUGGACAGGACAGGAUUGUUGAAAGUGUGUCGUGGACAGACGCCACCGUACUGUGCGGUCACCACAAUGAGCACAGGAAGGCCUCAGCCAGAGGAGCAUUGUGAGUGGAAUUCCAGGCCCUGCCGGUGAAGCGGACAUUCCCUAGGGGAGUUGGCUUCCACAGUCAAGCAAGUCAAAAUCCCAGUAGACUUGGAUGUGGGGGUGAGGGCUCAGAGGCCCAGAAAGACCCUACAAUUCAGGAGGAAGAAUAAAGAUCCACUAACACUGAAAUGGAUUAAAAAUGGAAGAGCCCAAUCCAGGAAGACGUGGCAUCAGACGCUGAGAGACGUCACAAAGACCCAACUCCUAACCCAGUAUAGCACUGACACAGGACAGAAAAGCAUGCUGGGGACACCGGGGCGUGGGUCCAGAAGCACAUGAAAUGGUACAUGAAACCCUGGCACAUGAUACAUCUGGUAUCCUAAGUCAAACAGUAUAAAAUACGAACUAUUUCAUAAAUGCUGAGUAAGUUCA